rnacentral:rRNA from 1 species
UGGGGUAUAUUGGACAAUGGGGGGAACCCUGAUCCAGCCAUGCCGCGUGUGUGAAGAAGGCCUUAUGGAUGUAAAGCACUUUAAGCGAGGAGGAGGGUACUGGUAUUAAUACUACCAGGUACUGGACGUUACUCGCAGAAUAAGCACCGGCUAACUCUGUGCCAGCAGCCGCGGUAAUACAGAGGGUGCGAGCGUUAAUCGGAUUUACUGGGCGUAAAGCGUGCGUAGGCGGCUAAUUGAGUCGGAUGUGAAAUCCCCGAGCUCAACCUGGGAACUGCAUCCAAAACUGGCGAGCUAGAGUAGGGCAGAGGGUGGUGGAAUUUCCUGUGUAGCGGUGAAAUGCGUAGAUAUAGGACGGAACACCAGUGGCGAAGGCGACCACCUGGGCUCAUACUGACACUGAGGUGCGAAAGCGUGGGGAGCAAACAGG